AUUGAACGCUGGCGGCAGGCCUAACACAUGCAAGUCGAGCGGAUGAAGGGAGCUUGCUCCUGGAUUCAGCGGCGGACGGGUGAGUAAUGCCUAGGAAUCUGCCUGGUAGUGGGGGAUAACGUCCGGAAACGGGCGCUAAUACCGCAUACGUCCUGAGGGAGAAAGUGGGGGAUCUUCGGACCUCACGCUAUCAGAUGAGCCUAGGUCGGAUUAGCUAGUUGGUGGGGUAAAGGCCUACCAAGGCGACGAUCCGUAACUGGUCGGAGAGGAUGAUCAGUCACACUGGAACGGAGACACGGUCCAGACUCCUACGGGAGGCAGCAGUGGGGAAUAUUGGACAAUGGGCGAAAGCCUGAUCCAGCCAUGCCGCGUGUGUGAAGAAGGUCUUCGGAUUGUAAAGCACUUUAAGUUGGGAGGAAGGGCAGUAAGUUAAUACCUUGCUGUUUUGACGUUACCAACAGAAUAAGCACCGGCUAACUUCGUG
rnacentral:rRNA from 1 species